rnacentral:rRNA from 1 species
GACGAACGCUGGCGGCGUGCUUAACACAUGCAAGUCGAACGGAAAGGCCCUGCUUUUGUGGGGUGCUCGAGUUGCGAACGGGUGAGUAACACGUGAGUAACCUGCCCUUGACUUUGGGAUAACUUCAGGAAACUGGGGCUCAUACCGGAUAGGAGCUCCUGCUGCAUGGUGGGGGUUGGAAAGUUUCGGCGGUUGGGGAUGGACUCGCGGCUUAUCAGCUUGUUGGUGGGGUAGUGGCUUACCAAGGCAUUGACGGGUAGCCGGCCUGAGCGGGUGACCGGCCAAAUUGGGACGGAGAUACGGCCCAGACUACUACGGGAGGCAGCAGUGGGGAAUAGUGCACAAUGGGAGGAAGCAUGAUGCAGCAAAGCAGCGUGCGGGAUGACGGCCUGCGGGUUGUAAACCGAUUUCGCCUGUGACGAAGCGUGAGUGACGGUAAUGGGUAAAGAAGCACCGGCUAACUACGUG